GAUGAACGCUGGCGGCGUGCCUAAUACAUGCAAGUCGAGCGAACAGAUGAGGAGCUUGCUCCUCUGACGUUAGCGGCGGACGGGUGAGUAACACGUGGAUAACCUACCUAUAAGACUGGGAUAACUUCGGGAAACCGGAGCUAAUACCGGAUAAUAUAUUGAACCGCAUGGUUCAAUAGUGAAAGACGGUUUUGCUGUCACUUAUAGAUGGAUCCGCGCCGCAUUAGCUAGUUGGUAAGGUAACGGCUUACCAAGGCAACGAUGCGUAGCCGACCUGAGAGGGUGAUCGGCCACACUGGAACUGAGACACGGUCCAGACGCCUACGGGAGGCAGCAGUAGGGAAUCUUCCGCAAUGGGCGAAAGCCUGACGGAGCAACGCCGCGUGAGUGAUGAAGGGCUUCGGAUCGUAAAACUCUGUUAUUAGGGAAGAACAAAUGUGUAAGUAACUAUGCACGUCUUGACGGUACCUAAUCAGAAAGCCACGGCUAACUACGU
rnacentral:rRNA from 1 species